CUCUCUCUCUCUCUCUCUCUC
rnacentral:ncRNA from 3 species